ACUUCUUUUAUCCAAGGAAAAGAUCUGACGGUACCUGAUGAAUAAGCCACGGCUAUUCGUGCAGCAGCCGCGUAUACGGGAAGUGCAAGCGUUAUCCGGAAUUAUUGGGCCGUAAAGCGUCCCGCAGGCGGCCCUUCAAGUCUGCUGUUAAAAAGUGGGAGCUUAACUCCAUCAUGGCAGUGGAAACUGUUGGGCUUGAGUGUGGUAGGGGCAGAGGGAAUUCCCGGUGUAGCGGUGAAAUGCGUAGAUAUCGGGAAGAACACCAGUGGCGAAGGCGCUCUGCUGGGCCAUCACUGACGCUCAUGGACGAAAGCCAGGGGAGCGAAAGGGAUUAGAUACCCCCUGUAGUCCUGGCCGUAAACGAUGAACACUAGGUGUCGGGGGAAUCGACCCCCUCGGUGUCGUAGCCAACGCGUUAAGUGUUCCGCCUGGGGAGUACGCACGCAAGUGUGAAACUCAAAGGAAUUGACGGGGGCCCGCACAAGCGGUGGAGUAUGUGGUUUAAUUCGAUGCAACGCGAAGAACCUUACCAGGGUUUGACAUCCUGCGAAUCUCUUGGAAACAGGAGAGUGCCUUCGGGAACGCAGUGACAGGUGGUGCAUGGCUGUCGUCAGCUCGUGUCGUGAGAUGUUGGGUUAAGUCCCGCAACGAGCGCAACCCACGUCUUUAGUUGCCAGCAUUUAGUUGGGCACUCUAGAGAGACUGCCGGUGAUAAACCGGAGGAAGGUGUGGAUGACGUCAAGUCAUCAUGCCCCUUACAUCCUGGGCUACACACGUACUACAAUGCUACGGACAAAGGGCAGCAAGUUCGCGAGGACAAGCAAAUCCCAUAAACCGUGGCUCAGUUCAGAUCGUAGGCUGCAACUCGCCUACGUGAAGGCGGAAUCGCUAGUAAUCGCAGGUCAGCAUACUGCGGUGAAUACGUUCCCGGGCCUUGUACACACCGCCCGUCGCACCAUGGAAGUUGGCCACGCCCGAAGCCGUUACUCCAACCCUUGUGGAGGA
rnacentral:rRNA from 1 species